GGUCGAAAGGGGAAAUUCAUUCGCGUUUCGUUGUCGGAGUUGAAAGUUUGCGUGACGGAUGAUACGCUUGCGUGUCGUUUGCACCAUUCGUUCUUCGAACCGAUAACGAACGCGUGCACUUUUCCCCUAGUAGGACGUCGCGAUCCGUUGGGUGCCUGUCUAAGACUUGGGGUGGAGCCCGCGUGAUUUUAUUAAGUCGUGCGGACCCUCGAUGCUCCGACAGGCUCGCUCGACGGUAUGCUUAAGGCGCGGGGCCGCUAUCUAUUUAGUUAGCGUUCGGCCCGUAGCAAGCGCAUUCCGUGUUUGACGGCGAUCGGACCUGGUGCCGAUUCUGUCCCGGAAUGACUGUUGGCUGCGGUGUUCUCGAACAGACCUCGU
rnacentral:rRNA from 1 species